rnacentral:lncRNA from 1 species
ACUCGGUGGAAUGCAUCCCGAAUGUCCAACAAAAUUGUUUUGGCAUCAGUAUGGCGUUGAGAUCAUGUGUAGCAGCUAUGGAGUGGUGGAGAGUGGGCAAAUGAAUUUCCCGAUCUUUCAAAAUGCAAAGGUCUUGCCAGUCGGGCAGACCCUGACCAAUCAUACUGCUGAUGCGGUAAUCCCUUGACCACCUACUGUAUCUCCACCGGCCCCACCUACACACUUUGCUUCGCAAAGUGGGUUUUGAUCUUCAAUGCAUAGGGUCCAUCUCAACUCUUCUGCAUGGUUAGUCCUCCAAGAAAUACAAAAC